rnacentral:rRNA from 1 species
AUCUUCCGCAAUGGACGAAAGUCUGACGGAGCAACGCCGCGUGAGUGAAGAAGGUUUUCGGAUCGUAAAACUCUGUUGUCAGAGAAGAACAAGUCGGAAAGUAACUGUUCCGGCCUUGACGGUAUCUGACCAGAAAGCCACGGCUAACUACGUGCCAGCAGCCGCGGUAAAACGUAGGAGACGAGCGUUAUCCGGAUUUACUGGGCGUAAAGAGCGUGUAGGAGGCAAUACAAGUUGGAUGUAAAAGCUCUCGGCUAAACUGAGAGAGGACGUUCAAGACUGUAGAGCUAGAGGAAGGCAGAGGUAGAUGGAACUCCGGGAGUAGUGGUGAAAUGCGUAGAUAUCCGGAAGAACACCAGAGGCGAAAGCGAUCUACUGGGCCUUAACAGACACUGAGACGCGAAAGCCAGGGUAGCAAACGGG